CAGCAGCCGCGGUAAUACAGAGGGUGCGAGCGUUAAUCGGAUUUACUGGGCGUAAAGCGUGCGUAGGCGGCUUCUUAAGUCGGAUGUGAAAUCCCUGAGCUUAACUUAGGAAUUGCAUUCGAUACUGGGAAGCUAGAGUAUGGGAGAGGAUGGUAGAAUUCCAGGUGUAGCGGUGAAAUGCGUAGAGAUCUGGAGGAAUACCGAUGGCGAAGGCAGCCAUCUGGCCUAAUACUGACGCUGAGGUACGAAAGCAUGGGGAGCAAACAGGAUUAGAGACCCCUGUAGUCCCUGUCUCUUAUAU
rnacentral:rRNA from 1 species